GAAAUUUGAGCCAUCCCAGUGCUUCCUGUACGAUGGAGUCGGGUCUUCCUGAAGACGUUCAUAAAUAACUUGAAAUUAUUCAAACGUAAGAACGUUAGAAGCGGCUAUGGAGACGUUACUGUGAAAUGGCAGUUUCCCUUCUUAAUGACCACGGUUACUCGGCAAAGGAAAAGAGAGAGGGGACAAUAUGGCGGAUGCAGGCUAAUUAAAUCAAUUACUGCUCCUCAUUGGAUACCCAGAUAGGAAGACCGCGGUUUUAACGGAACUAAUGAAAAGUUGGGAACUGCCGCUUUUAAGAAGAACUCUGCUAUGUCGUACUCUUCCCAGAACAUGCCCGGAUUUCCUGAUGUCUCUGCUUAAUUCUUGAACUAAGAAGCAGCGAGGCCAGCGAACGCAUCGGCACGAGGAUCUCCCUCCUCCCUUCCCUCUUGUCAAGUACCAGAAACCGUGCCAAACGCCAGCAGGCCCUCCAAUGAAAAUAGACCGUCCCGCUCGCUCGACGGACAGAACCAGAAACCUUGAAACCUAUAUUCCAGAGAUCCAGGGUCCCAAGAAAGAAACCCAGAAAUUCUCCCUUGGACAUAAACGGUUAGAGCAUAGGGAACAUUCAUCUGGGAAAAAGAGAAAUCGAAACAACACAUUUUUAAUUUUCUCCUUCCCGGGCACUCUGAAUAGAAUCAUUUCAACGACGAAAACAAGUGUUGUCAGAGAGAUCUUCAUAGAGAGCAAAAGCUCAUUCUUUUGGAAUAAAUGGGAGAAAGGCCUAUCUGAAUUAACACCAUCCAGACACAUGGAAUAUGCUUUGCAUGUAGCGCCGCUCGGCUAGGAACGGGACUUUAAGCGAGACGAACCCGUUGAGCGAUAUUUCGUGUUCUUAAACACAAGGGCGGCAUACUAAGAGAAAAAAAAUACAUUUUCGACAGCCAGCGUGCAAACUUGAUUUGCUCAGUGGCAUAAGCCCAAGGGCUGCACUAAGACAAGCUGGUGGGACUUGCAAAGUCUGUUAUUUUUUGCUUCCCCCAAGUCAGUCCGCAUGUCAAAAAGGAACCCUGGUCGUUACAUCUCACAUUUCAGCAUGUGUUUUUUCAGGAUCGUGAUUCAAAUAGACAUCUUGGGGGGAAAAAACCCUCCAAAAUUCAAAUUAAAAAACUCCUCUUUUUAAUUCAAUAAGCGUCACAUCCUCUCAGUUUUCCCAAACUCAGGGUUGCAUUCUUGCAAAUCCCAGCUCAAAGGCCGAGAUUGUAUCUACUCCGUGUCACUCUCCCAAAGGUAGAAUAAAGUGCCGAGCUCACAGGAGUCUGUAGAUUCCUCGAAA